CCUACGGGCGGCAGCAGUGGGGAAUAUUGGACAAUGGGCGAAAGCCUGAUCCAGCCAUGCCGCGUGUGUGAAGAAGGCCUUCGGGUUGUAAAGCACUUUCAGUGGGGAAGAAAGCCUUGGGGCUAAUACCCUCGAGGAAGGACAUCACCCACAGAAGAAGCACCGGCUAACUCCGUGCCAGCAUCCGCGGUAAUACGGAGGGUGCGAGCGUUAAUCGGAAUUACUGGGCGUAAAGCGCGCGUAGGCGGUCUGAUAAGCCGGUUGUGAAAGCCCCGGGCUCAACCUGGGAACGGCAUCCGGAACUGUCAGGCUAGAGUGCAGGAGAGGAAGGUAGAAUUCCCGGUGUAGCGGUGAAAUGCGUAGAGAUCGGGAGGAAUACCAGUGGCGAAGGCGGCCUUCUGGACUGACACUGACGCUGAGGUGCGAAAGCGUGGGUAGCAAACAGGAUUAGAUACCCCGGUAGUC
rnacentral:rRNA from 1 species